AUACGUAAAAUUACACUUUUUUAAAACUCAUUUAUAGAACCCCAACAUCUACGGUUUGUAAGAGAAACAAUGUUCAACCAUUGGGUCAGUGCAUUGCAGGGAUUGGUGGGUUUAUCAGAGGUACAGGAAGAUACAAACCGCCUCACUUUAUAUGCUUGUUUCCAUUUAUCAGUGAGGAAUCUGCUGUCUGCUGCUCACAUCUGUGAACAGACUUCUUUCACCUUUGGCAUUGCUAAGAUAAUGUCAAUUUUUACCAAAUUCUCACAAUCACCUUGGAGCUCUUAUGCAUAAAGACUGUGAAUGAGAUGGGCUUUCGGUGGCUGUGAUUCUUCCUGUUGUGCCCACCAAUUUGCUUGAUUCUUUUUCACACUCCAGUCCGUUGGAAGCUAAUGCAGCCUAUAAGCUCCAAAGUAAGGAUAACCAUGAUUAAUUCCUGAAUAGUUUCUUGGUAAAGGUGGGAUUUAAUCUAGACUUCUAUUUUUGCAGUCAAGAAACUUAAAAAUUAAAACAGUUGGCAUCUUCAUGUAGUGCUUACAUGUUUGCAUUUAUGAAUCUAUUCUUGGUUUGUAAGAGCAAAUCAGCCAACAAGGAAAAGUUUUUGGCUUUCUGGAUGUGGAGGAAUCCUAGGGAGGCAUGACAACUUGUAGCAUCAACAUCUUGUCCCCUUCCUUAGGCCAAGGAGUCAUGCACGUGCAGUCACCAUAAAGUUCUCUAAGUUGCGGUUGAUUUAACCUGCUAGAUGGUAUCAAUCUUUAUCCCUUGCACCAGGUUCAAAUUAAGUGGUGACAGAGGUUGAAGUUUGGAACCAACCAUUUGAUUCUCAAAUGGAUUGCUUUUAGCAAGUGGAUAAGUAUUUGUUGGAACAUGUUUGAUUACUCACCAAAAAACAUUACACAUCUUCAUUCAUUACAGUUUUGCUUGCAUAAGUGUGGUAGUGCUGCAGUGGAAUGUGUCAUUUACCAGAGCAGUUCAAGAUUGGGAAGUGGGAGACAUUUCUGAUUUCUACAGCACCUUGUAUGCACUAAGCGUGGCGUGGAGGACAAACUGCUGUGGACACACCCCGGGAACAAGAAAUUCUCGGUUAAAUCUUUAUAUAAUGCUAUGUGUACCCACUCUUCUCAGAAUUUCCCUUGGAAGCGCAUUUGGAAGAGCAAAGCACCCCCAAAAGUUGCUUUCUUCAGUUGGCUGGCCUCUCACAGCAAAAUUCUGACCAUAGACAAGUUGAGGAAGUAUGGUUUUUUCAUAAUGGAUUGGUGCUUCAUGUGCAAAAGGAAUGGCGAAUCGACAGACCAUCUUCUUCUCCAUUGUGAUGUGGCAAAGGCUCUAUGGGAUAAGUCUUCUUAAGGCUGAACAUUGCUUGGGUAAUGCCCAAGAAGGUGGUGGACCUAUUGGCUUGUUGGAGCUGAACACGGGGAAAUUGUCAAGUAGCGGAUGUUGGAAGAUGGUGUCCUUAUGUCUUAUGUGGUGUAUGUGGAAUGAGAGGAAUGAAAGAUGUUUUGAAAAUAGUGAACGCUCUUUGGAGGGGAUUAGAGACUCAUUUUUCCAAACUUUGUUACUUUGGGCUAAGACUAUUGUAUUAGAUGGGGAUAAUUUUAGUGACUUGUGUGCGUCUUUUUUUGUUUGUAGACUGUAAUUAGGUAUUUCUCUCUUGUAUACCACCUGUGUACUUGGGCUAUGCCUAAUUUUGAAGAUCAAUAAAC